rnacentral:misc_RNA from 1 species
CAGCUUUCCAGUUUGUGCUGCUUCUUUUUUUUUAUUUUUUUCUCUCUCAUGGAGCCUUUGCUAUGAUUUCCUGGACAAUAUGGAAAUUGUGCUCAAGGGAAUUGCCAAUAGUGAACUGUGCUUAUAAACUUCUUCAUGAUUAUAAAGAAGCCACAUGCUUAUUCGAGCCGGCAAGUUUGGAGUUGAACUGAUGCUCUCCCCUGUGGCGUUGGUAAUUUCAUCUUCGGGAGGGACUGCAAGGUUAAUAUAGAAACUGCUGAUGGUGGCCGUGAGCAGAAUCCCUAUGAAGGUCUGCUGAUAGAAG